UUUUAGCUGAAAGGGGAACAAAGUGAAGGAGAACCCAAUAUGUUUAAGAGCUUCACAUGUUCCCAUCAAAGCUCCGGGCCCACCUUCAACCUAAAAAGAGUCUAAUCAGCCAGAAUAACUGAAAACACCUGUGUGGGUGUUCAGAGGCUUUAA